GUGAGGUGGAAGUGAGUGGAAGUGACAGGGCAGGCCAUUUCCAAGAGAGCCAGUCUGAGCCAGCCUUACUUGGCUUGGCUCGCGGCAGGGACUAGCCUUUGCUGGAUCACCUCCGUCACAUCAACAAAACAAAAGCUGUCAUGAUGGGAAGCUGAAGAUAACUGAGCCUUCACUGUACCAACCAUGGCAACAUAAAGACAACAAAUGGCAAUGAAAAUGUGCCAACAUACCUACAAUCUCUGAUCUCCUGUGUCACAUGUUCGCUUCAUCCUUUAAGAAGCUCAAUCAUUUGCUAUGGCAUUGCUGAAUGGAGUUUCUCACUUCCCUGGCUCACUGAGCUCAGAUUAGCCAUCUAUUCUUACUAUGUUCCUGACAGCCUAGAUUUCCAUAAAACCUUUUCUAGUAACAUUCAAAACUUUGUUCUGAGAAAAGGAAGUGUAUAACAGGUCAAGAAAGAAAAUAAAUG